CUGAGGCCUAAAAAGGGAAGGAGAAGGAAAGGUAUUACCAUAUUGCAGAGACAGCUGGGAACACAUAAAGGGACUACUGAUUUGAGCUGUGGUCAUGAAGAAAGGCAGUCCCUGCCAGAACCUUGGCAAGGUACUGAGGAUCCAGGUAAACGAUACAGGCAAGGUCCUUCAUGGAAGGUUCACUUAGUGGGAGUGUGAAGAGGAGAUGAUGGCUGAGGAAACACAUGCACAGAUUACCCAUUUCCUCAUCUCUCCUCAAAGUCCUAUCUCCUUUUCUAUUGAUGUUCUAAGGAACAUUAAGAUGAUGAACAUCUUUCUGAACUACAAUAAAAAUCGGGAGAUAUUAUAGUUCUGGGACCUUGCAGUGAACACAUCCACUGUCCUUUCCAUGCAGUUCGAGACUGCACUUGAGAUCACAUUUGCUAACUCUAUGUGCUCCCAUUAAAGAACAGAGGGUGUACUGACCUGCUCCACUAAAGAUAUUCCAUAUGCUCAGAAGCUGUGGAUAUUAAGCUACCACUUGGUUAAAUUUAUGGUAGUGCACUCUCAUCCAUAAUGAAACUUUUUUUUUUGUAAAGGCAAGACAAAUGAAUUGGCUAGAGAUAGUAUGAAGACCAGUAACCCUGAGUCCUUUACUUACUGUUGCUGGUUUGGCAACAAUUUUAGUAAAAGCAAGUAUAAUUCCAGGAGUUUAUAUUCAGCCUAGUGGCCCAUCAAGUAAAAAUUGAAGAUAAAUAAUAUUAAAC